rnacentral:lncRNA from 1 species
GUCACCAGGAAGAGCGAGAGGCGAUUUGGGAGCCUGAGGAUGCGAUGCGAGAAUUUUAUCCGUAUUUAUUUGAGCAGCCGACCUGAGAUAUAUUUUAAAUUUUGAGGACGAAAUUUUUUUUUAAGGAGGGGAGAAUAUGAUAUAUUGAAUCUUAACAAAUUGGCAAGGUUACAGUAUAAAUUUAUGCUUUAUUGAGUUGGAGACGUUUUGCGCAAAAUAGAUGUAAAAACGGACUUUGAAACUCAAGAUUUAAUUAUUUUGGACUAAAGUCGAAAUAUUGACUUUUGAGGGGCCUAAUGGUAUUUUUGCUAUUUUGCAUGGAAUCCACGUAGCACCUGAAGUUUUUAUUUGAUCUUAUCCUCUUCACUUGUAGUGAAGAGAGAGUGGGAAUUGGUUGAGACAUUGGCAAGCAAGCUCGAUUCGUUUUGGCGAGCGAGUGAGCGAGUCGAGUGCGCGCACGCGUAUUUUGGCGUUUCGAUGUCGUGGUUAGUAUCAUAAUAUUAUUAUUUCUCAUUUAGAUUCUUUUGAUAAAUUUUUGAUAGAAAUUGAGAGUUAGAAACAGAUUUUUUUUAUAUAUUUUAGGAGCGGAUUUCGCGUAAUCUUGACGAGAAAUUUUCGAGCUAUUUUAGAGUGUUGUGGCUG